GGGGUGACCGCGUGCUUUUUGCAUAAUGAGCUCGGGAGUUAGCCUCUGUGGCGAGCCUAAGGCCUAACGGGCCGGAGGCGGAGCGAAAGCGAGUCUGAAUAGGGCGCUGAGUCGAUGGGGCUAGACGCGAAACCCGUGUGAUCUACCCAUGGCCAGGGUGAAGUGGGGGUAAAACUCCAUGGAAGCCCGAACCCGUCAACGUUGAAAAGUUGUGGGAUGAGCUGUGGGGAGGGGUCAAAGUCCAAUCAAACCGGGAGAUAGCUCGUUCUCUCCGAAAUAACUUUAGGGUUAGCCUCAGACAGCAAGAACUGGGGGUAGAGCUACUGGAUGAGUGGUGGGCCCUACCCAGGGUACCCCACUCAACCAAACUCCGAAUACCAGUUCCCAAGGUCUGGGAGAUAGACCGCGAGUGACAAUAUCCGUGGUCAAGAGGAGAAAAAUCCAGAUCGCCGGCUAAGGCCCCGAAUCUGUGCUCAGUUCUUAAGGAAGUCGGAUUGCAGUGACAGCCAGGAUGUUGGCUUAGAAGCAGCCAUCAUUUAAAGAGUGCGUAACAGCUCACU
rnacentral:rRNA from 1 species